CUUCGGGGUCAAAAGGAAGUGUUCUAUGCUGUGAAGCUCAGCCUAGAGAAGAGCCCAUGGGUCUUGGCAGAAGAACCUGCACCUUUAUGGCAGGAUGAGUCACACCUGUUGCCCUCAGGAUCACUUAGAAGAUAGAUCUCACUUGGAAGGAGCCAUGCUACGGAGUCCGUGUUCUUAAUCUGCACUCUGGCCCUGCUCCUUCAUCCUGGAUGCCAGGCCUGAACCUGUUGGAGGGGAUGGGAAGUGUCCUUCUGCAUCUUGCAUUGUGCCCUGGGUCUGCUGUGCAUUAGAGAUUGUCCAGGUCUGAAGACAGAUACACUCCAGCUCGCUUGGCUUUCACCCUUCACUCCUUCUUCAGAGCAGUGAAACCAUUUGAGAGGCUUGGAACAU